CAGGACCAGCCUGAUGGAGGCAGCUUAAACAAACACCACGACCAGAGUGGCGCAGGAGUUAUAAAGUGCCAUAUGACAAUGCUAAGUAUAAUGUUGAGAGAAAGUCUGUGCCUUACUCUGAAAGACUUGCUCUAAUUCCCAGCUCUGGACAUAUCUGGCCAUGAUGUGAUUCUCAAGACACACUACUUAAGCACACAGGAGGUGAACUGAAGAGGCAAAGAAUGCUGCAGUUCAGUCUGAAGAAGUAGAAUUCCUCGUUGGAAUGUCUCAAGUCAGCAACAGUAACAUAGGAUGCCUCCACAUGAUGCAUUUGAGAGGGGCAUGAGUGAGAACACAUACACGCCAAAUGCUCAUCCAGGUUUAAUUAGAAGAGAACUGAAAAUGGCAGGGUGCAAUGCUGUGAAGUUGAUGAGAGGACAAAAGGAAAGUAGCUGUACUGAAAAUACAGUGUAUCUACUAUAUCCGUUUCAAACAUCUGGGCUUCCAAUUCUUUACUGAACUCAUGUGUAAGAGUUACUUGGGAAUAUUGCAAAUAGUUAUAGAACAGGAACAUGCAAACUGCUUUGUAAAAUACUUGCAGGAAUGAACUCUUGCUAAAGUCUUGAACA